rnacentral:rRNA from 1 species
CGGCGGACGGGUGAGUAACGCGUGGGUAACCUGCCUCAUACAGGGGGAUAACAGUUGGAAACGGCUGCUAUACCGCAUAAGCGCACAGUACCGCAUGGUACGGUGUGAAAAACUCCGGUGGUAUGAGAUGGACCCGCGUCUGAUUAGGUAGUUGGUGGGGUAACGGCCUACCAAGCCGACGAUCAGUAGCCGACCUGAGAGGGUGACCGGCCACAUUGGGACUGAGACACGGCCCAA